GGCAGCAGUGGGGAAUAUUGGACACUGGGCGCAAGCCUGAUGCAGCAAUGCCGCGUGAGUGAUGACGGCCUUAGGGUUGUAAAGCUCUUUUACCCGGGAUGAUAAUGACAGUACCGGGAGAAUAAGCCCCGGCUAACUCCGUGCCAGCAGCCGCGGUA
rnacentral:rRNA from 1 species